rnacentral:rRNA from 1 species
UACGUAGGUGGCAAGCGUUAUCCGGAAUUAUUGGGCGUAAAGCGCGCGUAGGCGGUUUUUUAAGUCUGAUGUGAAGGCCCACGGCUCAGCCGUGGAGGGUCAUUGGAAACUGGAAAACUUGAGUGCAGAAGAGGAAAGUGGAAUUCCAUGUGUAGCGGUGAAAUGCGCAGAGAUAUGGAGGAACACCAGUGGCGAAGGCGACUUUCUGGUCUGUAACUGACGCUGAUGUGCGAAAGCGUGGGGAUCAAACA